GGGUCUGGGGGGAAAUCGCGCGAUUUUGGGGGUCUGGGGGGAGGAGCCCCCCUCCCCUGGGGGCCGCCGUCGCUUCCUAUUGGACGGACACCGGAUCCCCCCCAGCUCACAGUCGCUCCUGAUUGGCUCUGAUGGUUCCCCCCCCGCCGAGACCCACGCUCUCUCCUGAUUGGCUCCAUGGUAGAUCCCGCCCCAAGCCAAGGUCACUCCCGAUUGGCUCUGCCCUGUGUCCCUUCCCAGCCCAGAACCACUCCUGAUUGGCUCCACACUAGAUCCUUCCCCAACCCAGCGCCACUCCUGAUUGGCUCUGCGCUCGAUCCCGCCCCCAACCCGGCCUGGCUCCUGAUUGGCGCCAGGCCUACCCAGAAUGACUCCUGAUUGGCUGAAGACUGGAUCCCGCCCCAGCCCGGCCUGGCUCCUGAUUGGCCCAGCCCUUCCCAGAACGCCCCCUGAUUGGCUGAAGACCAGAUCCCGCCCCCGCUCGCUCCUGAUUGGCCGAGGACUUGGUCCCGCCGCGAAUCGGUGGCCCAGGAUUGGCCUGGCAGCCGCCUCGCCCCGCCCAGCGCCACUCCUGAUUGGCCCGGCACUGGAUCCCAGCUCGCCCGGCACUGGAUCCCAGCUCGCCUGGACGCUGCUCCCCAUUGGCUCCUGCCCCUGCAGCAUGCCGCUCCUGAUUGGCCGAACACUGGAUCCCAGCUCAAGGGGAACCCGUUCCUGAUUGGCUCAACGCUGGCUCCCAACCCAACCGGAGGUCGUUCCCGAUUGGCUUGAGUCUCGAUCCUGCCCCGCCCCCUGCCCCCUUCUGAUUGGCUCGAGCCCAGAUCCCACAUCCCCGCAGCUCACUCCUGAUUGGCUCGAGACCAGAUCCUGCACCGCUGCAGCUCGCUCCUGAUUGGCUUGAGACCAGCUCCUGCCCCCGCUCCUGACUGGCUGACCACUGGACCCCACCUCAACAGGAACCCGCUCCCCAUUGGCUGACCACCGGCCCCCGCCCCUACAGGAACUCGCUCCCGAUUGGCUCGAGAGCAGAUCCCACUCCGCCAUCGCUCCCCAUUGGCCGGAGCCCCCUUCCUGCCCCGCCCAGCCGCCGCCUCCGCCCCCAUUGGCCAAACGCCGGCCCCGCCCCGCUCCCGUCCUCCCUCCCCAUUGGCCGGCGACCGGAUCCCGCCCCAGCGGCGCCCCCUCCCAUUGGCCGGCGGCCAGAUCCCCCCGGCCCCGGUAGUGCAAAAGUCCCCGGGGGCACGCGAGCGGCGCCAAGGGGGAGGGGGGGGGCGGUGCCCCCAGGACCCCCCCUCCCGGAGGCCA
rnacentral:lncRNA from 1 species